GGAGUGACUUGGCUUUUCUAGGCUCCAGUUCUUUAAAUACUAAAUAAGAGCAACAUAGUGGACAACUAGAUAUCCAACCACGUAACUUGGUGACUUGGAAGUUCUUGUGUCUAUGCUUCAUGGAUGGGAAUAGCCCUACGACAGACACAGCAGGAAGGCCUGGGAUGAGUGGAGUGAUCAAACACCAAGGCAGGGACAAGGGAUCUUCAUGAAAGAGGGGACUCCUGCACGUCUCAGUGUUCAAAGCUAGCAUCAUGGCAGAGGAACAUCGGCUUCUUCAUGGUGCUUCCAGCAGGUGAGCCUCUGUGAAUAACUAUCUAGAUUAACUGAGUUGGGAACACCUAGCCUAAGGAGAAUGGCACCAUUUCCAAGGCUGGAUUGCUGGAUUGCUGGAUUGCUGGAUUGCUGGAUUGCUGGAUUGCUGGAUUGCUGGAUUGCUGAGUUGCUGAAUUGCACAAAAUGGAAGAAACCAGUAAGUGAGUACAAGCAUCUGGAGUUCUUUGCUUCCUGACUGCAGCCAUAAUGCAAGCAGCUGCUUAAAGUCCCUAUAGCCUUUGCUUGCUGCCAUGAUAGGCUGUUCUCUUGAAGAUGAGCCAAAAUAAACACUUCCUCAUUUUGCUUUUGCUAGAGUAUCUUAUCACUCAACAUGAAAAGUAGCUAAGAAAGCUCGGGCUCACACAUAGCCG
rnacentral:lncRNA from 1 species